rnacentral:rRNA from 1 species
UACGGGGGGGAGCAAGCGUUGUUCGGAAUUAUUGGGCGUAAAGGGCGCGUAGGCGGUGCGGUAAGUCACCUGUGAAAUCUCCUGGCUCAACUGGGAGCUUGCAGGCGAAACUGCCGUGCUGGAGUGUGGGAGAGGUGCGUGGAAUUCCCGGUGUAGCGGUGAAAUGCGUAGAUAUCUGGAGGAACACCGGUGGCGAAAGCGCGAGACUGGGCCGUAACUGACGCUGAGACGCGAAAGCGUGGGGGAGCAAACAGG